UACGUAGGGCGCAAGCGUUAUCCGGAAUUAUUGGGCGUAAAGAGCUCGUAGGCGGUUUGUCGCGUCUGCUGUGAAAUCCCGAGGCUCAACCUCGGGCCUGCAGUGGGUACGGGCAAACUAGAGUGCGGUAGGGGAGAUUGGAACUCCUGGUGUAGCGGUGGAAUGCGCAGAUAUCAGGAGGAACACCGAUGGCGAAGGCAGAUCUCUGGGCCGUAACUGACGCUGAGGAGCGAAAGCGUGGGGAGCGAACAGG
rnacentral:rRNA from 1 species